rnacentral:rRNA from 1 species
GACGAACGCUGGCGGCGUGCUUAACACAUGCAAGUCGAACGGUAAGGCCCUUCGGGGUACACGAGUGGCGAACGGGUGAGUAACACGUGGGUGAUCUACCCUGCACUUCGGGAUAAGCCUGGGAAACUGGGUCUAAUACCGGAUAGGACCACUGCCUGCAUGGGUGGUGGUGGAAAGCUUUUGCGGUGUGGGAUGGGCCCGCGGCCUAUCAGCUUGUUGGUGGGGUGAUGGCCUACCAAGGCGACGACGGGUAGCCGGCCUGAGAGGGUGACCGGCCACACUGGGACUGAGAUACGGCCCAGACUCCUACGGGAGGCAGCAGUGGGGAAUAUUGCGCAAUGGGCGCAAGCCUGAUGCAGCGACGCCGCGUGAGGGAUGACGGCCUUCGGGUUGUAAACCUCUUUCAGCACCGACGAAGCGCAAGUGACGGUAGGUGCAGAAGAAGGACCGGCCAACUACGUGCCAGCCGCCGCAGUAA